rnacentral:rRNA from 1 species
CAGCCGCCACGGGAAUACGUAGGUGGCAAGCGUUGUCCGGAAUUAUUGGGCGUAAAGGGCUCGCAGGCGGUUUCUUAAGUCUGAUGUGAAAGCCCCCGGCUCAACCGGGGAGGGUCAUUGGAAACUGGGAAACUUGAGUGCAGAAGAGGAGAGUGGAAUUCCACGUGUAGCGGUGAAAUGCGAAGAGAUGUGGAGGAACACCAGUGGCGAAGGCGACUCUCUGGUCUGUAACUGGCGCUGAGGAGCGAAAGCGUGGGGAGCGAACAGGAUUAGAUACCCGCGUAGUCCCUGUCUCUUAUAC